rnacentral:misc_RNA from 1 species
AAUUGAUAUAAAAAGAAAACAGAAUCAGUUAAAAUUAUAAGUUUGUAACUUACAGCAGCAGCCGAAGUAAUGUUGAUAAAUUACACUAUGAACUUGUUAACGUUCAGUAAAGAAAAACAUAUAAUGCUACUCGCAGAUUUCUAAGCUGCUUGUGUUUAGUUGGUAUAAUAAUAUAAGAAAAGCAGUAAAAUGGCCAAGACGCAUGAUUGUUUUCAAUACAUGACUAAGUUUGUGUUUCCAAAUAAUGGAAGUUGGUAUAUGCAAUGACACAUAUUUGAGAAACAAGAGCAUUAGGUAUCACAUCUACUUCAAUCUGAAUAUAUUUGUUACUGCUGGUUGGAAAGUAAACUGAUCAAGCAGCCUUAUUAU